UGUGUAUCUGCUGGCAGAAGCAAACACUUGUGUGAUGAGUAACUUGUAAAUCUCCCCGCUUAAAUUUCAUGCAGAUCUGAGCAGUCGAAACAGAUGCGUGGUAGAACUUUGCUGCGACUGAAGAAUUUAUCGUGUUUCUUUAAAUAAAUUAGAAUCACAAAUUCUUACAGACUGGUUGAAAGUGUUAACAUUUGAAGCGAAGCAACAGAUAUGGAGAAACAGUUGUUAUCACAGAAGUGAGAGGUGAUUAUUCGCUGAAGACCUACAAACGAGGGAAGUAACCUGAGGGCAAUGCGUCCUUCAGAAUGUAAAAUAAGCAUCUUCAGAGUGUAUUUUAUGUCCACUUCUACGUAUUUCAAGGUUUCUGCCACACGUGCAUCUCUUCGGAGUCGCCGAUGUAGAUCCACGUGCCGUUCUUGUAUGAUUCCGCAUACACGCCGGAGUCCUCCUCGUCGCCCUCGCCCGCGGCCAGGUUCGACGUGCUGGUGUCGUGCACCGUCACGUUGGGGCUCGAGUCCGCGGCCCUCAGCAUCUCCAUGCUUGCGUCUGUCGACCGCGCAAGUGGCCUGAAGGCAUUAAAACAAACCUUUAACUUGUCAGGCCUGCAAGAUCUUCAUGCAUCUUGUGACUCGAAAUGUGAAUGUCAUAUGAGAUGGCACCUGAGCUUAACUCGGUCCUCACGACCUCGUUCCUCAGACUUCGCACGUGUGCCGUCGCAGCGGUAGCGACUAUGAUGGCGUCUCUCGCCGUGUCCUCCGCGUUCCUCAGACCUGAAUCGCUUCUCUAACUUCUUGUAGAGCCGCCCGCUAGACGUUGCUUUGUUGCGGGAUCCCUCUGGGGAAUCCGCAAAGCCUGCGGGGGGCUGAACGAUGUCAGGUGGCUCGUGUUCUGUCGUCUCACCCUUCCCGGGUUCUCCGUCCUGUAUCGGGACACAUACACCUCAGAAUUACUUCGCCUGAAUACAGUUAAAACAUUCUCAUUCUUCGCAGGAUGUGACACUGAAACUUGGACCGAAACGUCGUACACACAUAAACACGUAUUCAUGCCAACAUUAAACUGGAACCUCGCAGUUUUGCCAAUGCAACAUGCGACCAAUCACAUAUUCCUAGAAAGUCAUAUAAAUUCCAGUGACUGCAAGUUUUCGUAAUCUGAACUUUGUCCAUAAAAGUUAAUUACUUCACAAUAAUUUCAUACGAAUAUACGAAUUUAAAAAAUGGAACUUCAAAACUGCAGAAAACUGGAUGUUUAAUUGCAUAAUGUAGGGUUCAAUAUUAAUCGAUAUUAAAUUUGAUUCACGAAUUUGAGUUUAAUUCCAAUUUCAUUAAAAUCCAUGCAAGAAUUUUGGAGACAAGACACAAGCUCUAAUUAUACGCACAUUUCAUGCAAUGAACACGUAGAAAGUACUUGCUUCGUGAAAACAAAACAACGUCACAUCAAACACACCGAACACUUAAUUAAACAUUCAGGUAUCAAAAUAUGCAAACUCUUUUAAUAAAUAGCAUUUAUAAAUCUC